rnacentral:misc_RNA from 1 species
ACGGACGACGGCGACUACAACAUCAAGAUGCGCAACAUCCGCCGCUUCCUGGCGGAGGGCGACAAGGUCAAGGUCACACUGCGCUUUCGUGGCCGCGAGAUCACGCACCAGGAAAUCGGCAUGGCGCUGCUCAACCGCCUGCGCGACGAACUGGCCGACAGCAUCCUGGUCGAGCAGUUCCCCAAGCUGGAAGGCCGCCAGAUGAUCAUGAUGAUCGCCCCGGCGCGCAAGAAGCCGGCCGCGGCGGCCCCCAAGGCCGCUGCCGAGGGCGCACAGCCGCAGGCCUGACGACCUGCAUGAACACCAUCGGG